CCUGCCCCUAGAGGUGUUGCAGGUGUGGCUGCUGUGUCAUAUGUGUGGUCAGUAGGUGGCAGAGAGGAGUGAGCCUAUGUCUACGCUCAGUGCUCUGAAGUAUGAACAUCUGAAUGUUAAUAAUCUAACAUU